CACGUAGGCACCAAGCGUUGUCCGGAUUUAUUGGGCGUAAAGAGCUCGUAGGCGGUUGAGUAAGUCGGGUGUGAAAACUCUGGGCUUAACCCAGAGCCGCCACCCGAUACUGCUCUGACUUGAGUUCGGUAGGGGAGCAGGGAAUUCCUAGUGUAGCGGUGAAAUGCGCAGAUAUUAGGAGGACACCGGUGGCGAAGGCGCUGCUCUGGGCCGAUACUGACGCUGAGGAGCGAAAGCGUGGGUAGCAAACAGG
rnacentral:rRNA from 1 species